CCCCUCUCAGGGUCACACCUGGAGAGUUCCAGUACUCUACCAGUCUCGACUAUGGGAGGGAGAGUUAAGGAGAGUCAUACUCAUUCCAUUCCUAGCUUGGGUAGUGGCUAGUGAGUGGAAGGCAAUCUGCUACAAGU
rnacentral:snoRNA from 2 species